UUGUUUUGCAGUUUUAAUGCGAUAUAUUAGAUAAUCGACUAACUGUUAGGUUAGUCAAUUACCUCUAUUGGAAAAUAAAAAUAUUAUUGAAAUUCUGAGUAUGUAGAAACAUUCUAACGAACUAAUACUAACAUUAUAUCAUGAACUAACCAAUACGAGCUAAUAUUAAUGGCUAUUAGUUUAUUCAUUCACUAAUACAAACAAGCAAAAUAAAAUCAAAUAGCUCCAUCUUCUUUCAUCACGGAUCCAUCACCGAUUAGGUGGUCUAUCUUCCCCUCGGGUUGCUCAAAGAAGUCUGCC
rnacentral:lncRNA from 1 species